GCAUCUCUGGUGUAGGGGUAGCAUGUAGGUUUCCCACCGUCGAAAGUGGACUUGUUGUCUGACAACAUGGCCCGCGUAUUAAACGUACGUGGAAAAUACCUGCGAUCCGAGUUCGAGUCUCGGGAGAUGCA